rnacentral:lncRNA from 1 species
AGAAAUAGCUUACGGACUCAUUCUUUGUUCCAGGAAUAAACUAGGAUUAUUGAACUAUUCCCCACCCCCCACCCCCCCUCACCCCCCCCCCCCCCCCCCCCNNNNNNNNNNNNNNNNNNNNNNNNNNCCCCCCCGGGAUGAUCACUUUCUUUAUGGGCAGCAGGAGAAAAGAUGAAACAAGGUAAACUAGAUUAAGGGAUUUCCUCCUAUUCCCAGCUCUUAUUUUCAUUUGUUGUUGUUGUUUUCCCCCCUGUGGUGCUGUGGAACUGCAGCUACGCAUUUAACCUUUGAGAGAAAAAUACAGGAACAUGAGUCCUUCCUUCUGCUCUGAGAGGAGACUGGAAAUACAAGGAAAAAGGUGACCAUUUGCUGUGUGACUGCAGAACAAUCUGAAGGCUUCUGGAGCCAGUCCCAUGCCUCUGGCUGCUGAACCACUGCUUGUUCUUUCCAGUAGUCACUCAAAGGGAGAAGAAUCUGUGUGAGUCACUACCACUGCAUUCUUCCAUAGCUGAAAUAAAGUCCAUGCGCUCACUGCUUUUGCCCAGUCUUGCUCCUCUGGUGGUGGGCUGG